UACGUAGGGUGCGAGCGUUAAUCGGAUUUAAUGGGCGUAAAGCGUGCGCAGGCGGCCCGUUAAGACAGGUGUGAAAUCCCUGGGCUCAACCUAGGAAUUGCGCUUGUGACUGGCGGGCUCGAGUACGGUAGAGGGGGGUGGAAUUCCUGGUGUAGCAGUGAAAUGCGUAGAGAUCAGGAGGAACACCGAUGGCGAAGGCAGCCCCCUGGGCCUGUACUGACGCUCAUGCACGAAAGCGUGGGGAGCAAACAGG
rnacentral:rRNA from 1 species